GGUUCUAUAGUGUAGUGGCUAGCACUUUGGACUCUGAAUCCAACAACCCGAGUUCGAAUCUCGGUAGGACCU
rnacentral:tRNA from 1 species